GACGAACGCUGGCGGCGUGCCUAAUACAUGCAAGUCGAGCGAAGUUUUUCUGGUGCUUGCACUAGAAAAACUUAGCGGCGAACGGGUGAGUAACACGUAAAGAACCUGCCUCAUAGACUGGGACAACUAUUGGAAACGAUAGCUAAUACCGGAUAACAGUAUUUCUCGCAUGAGAGAUAUUUAAAAGUUGGUUAUGCUAACACUAUGAGAUGGCUUUGCGGUGCAUUAGCUAGUUGGUGGGGUAAAGGCCCACCAAGGCGACGAUGCAUAGCCGACCUGAGAGGGUGAUCGGCCACACUGGGACUGAGACACGGCCCAGACUCCUACGGGAGGCAGCAGUAGGGAAUCUUCCGCAAUGGGCGAAAGCCUGACGGAGCAACGCCGCGUGAGUGAAGAAGGAUUUCGGUUCGUAAAGCUCUGUUGUUAGGGAAGAAUGGAUAUGUAGUAACUAUACAUGUAAGAGGCGGUACCUAACCAGAAAGCCACGGCUAACUACGU
rnacentral:rRNA from 1 species